rnacentral:rRNA from 1 species
GACAGAGGAUGCAAGCGUUGUCCGGAAUCAUUGGGCGUAAAGAGCGUGUAGGCGGCUUGGUAAGUCCGCUGUGAAAGUCCAGGGCUCAACCCUGGAAUGCCGGUGGAAACUGUCAAGCUUGAGUCCGGAAGAGGCGAGUGGAAUUCCUGGUGUAGCGGUGAAAUGCGCAGAUAUCAGGAGGAACACCAAUGGCGAAGGCAGCUCGCUGGGACGGUACUGACGCUGAGACGCGAAAGCGUGGGGAGCAAACAGG